UAUAAGAGAAGAGAGGGCGUGGAAUUGGGGUGUAGGUUAAAGAAGAGGUAAAGGUAGAGGAGGAGGAGGAGGUUGUGGGUUUAACGAGAUCCCGGAGAUCUCAUCGUCGCCUUCGCCAUCAUCGGAAGAGGAGAUGAAGAAGGCCAGGUUCCUCGCCGCGUCCAUCGCUGCUGCCGCCUCUUCGGCAGCCUUCGCCUUCGGCCUCGAUCGCCGCGCCGCGGCCGACCCUUGCUUCUCCCCCGACGAGGGAUCGCGUGGUUCGGGGAAGGAGGCGGGAUCGAGGAAGGGAGGGGAGGAGAAAUUCGCCCCAAGAUUCGAUGGUUUGAGGUUUAUCGAGACGCUCGUCACGGCGCACAGAUAACAUCCGUCCGUUCAUCCGGCGGUUCCUGCCGUUGAUCGUUAGAGUUCUUGAUAUCGUCGUCUGUGGCUUUUCUUUUGCCCUUUAUCUUAUUCUUCCUCUUUAAUUAGGAAGAAGAGAGACUAAUAUAUUUUUCGUGGGAUAUAUAUUUUUAUAUAUAUGAUUCGUAGCGUGAGAUGGCUACAGGUUUUGUGAGGUACAACGUAUUUGUUAAGAUUAUGAUUGGAUUUUUUUUGUAUAUACCGCGACUCACACGGGUGUGGGGGACUCACACCACAUGGGCAUGAGUGACCUAGACCUGUCCUACAAGAGAAUUGUCCUAGGAAUCGGAGGAACAGUUUCGAGGCUCUCGAGUGAUGCGCAGCAAAAAAAAAAAAAAAAAAAAAAAAAAAAAAUUCAAGCGCCAAGCUUUUUUAAAAUUUUGUAAAUAUUUUGAAGCAGCGGAUGCUGAUUGUCAUUGCUGUGCCAUUUUUGAAUUUAAUCGAUCAUUGUAGUUGAGUCACCUUCUGUGUUUGUGGGAUUAGAAGGGAUUGGUCAAUCAGAUGGAUUCCAAACACAGCUAACUGUGUCGAAAACAAAUCUGAUUUUUAAUUGCAUGUGCGAUUUUGAGCAACAUGUAUUUGGAUUAUCUCAUUGGCGCGUGGAAGUUAUCUUCACUUUGUAUACAGCACCCAACCUUCGAGUUCUCUAAUGAGGAGCCAAAUUUAUCAUGAGUAGAAACAGCUCUAUCAAAGUUAAUUGUAAGGGACUUAGGAGGGAUAAGGGAAAGUUAUGCGAAAUAAUUUAGGAGGAUUAAGGCUAUUCUAUAGAACAAAGAUUUUUCUGUGUCAAGUUAGAUGGAUAAGUUUGCGGUUAUUAUGUCGUGAUGUUGUUUGGUUGGAGGAAUAAGUCUUUAGCCUCAUCAUCUUUUGAAUAUGUGGUAUAACAAAAUUUUUCACGUAUUGCUUCUUUAGAAGUGUCCAAGUAUGGAUGUAUAUUGAAAUGUGGUAACAUUGCCAUGCUUUUCUUAUACAUACCUUUAGUUUUUUUUUUUUUGGGUACGAUGGGUGUAUCAUACAGUGCAUGUAUGAAUACAUCCAAAAAAGUCAAAAAUAACAAAUUUCGGAGUGCACCGGGUAACUCCUCUCCCUCAUCCAAAGAGUAUCUUCAGAAUGGUUGGCCACAUAACACGCUUAGCCUGCAAGACCAUCCCACCACCAACCAUCGUUCGGAUAUCUCUAAGCAGUGGGUGAUAGUCGCCUACCCCUCCGUGCUCUACUGGAUUCAGCUAAUGACUGACUGUUGUCGAAUCGUCCUCAAGCAGUAUAGCACUGGCUUAUAGUACUCGCCAAGCAUAGCUCAAGCCGGCCUAAGCCGUCCUCAACUCAGCCUCUGAGAUCGAGAUGUCGAAGAUCUGACAACCAUCAGCCUAAUCACCCUAGAGUUUGAACCUCUGAUGAUGAAGUCAGCACCUCCCCUACUUCCGCCAUCCAGUACACAUCUGUCAAAGUUUAUCUUGAGAAAGCUUGGGGGUGGGAGAUCUCAGGUGAAAAAUACCGUGCGAGAUGCUUUAUGAGCAAAAGAUGAGUUCUAGGUGCCCCGAGCUAUCAAAGGUCCAUCCAACAGAUGCGACUGAGUAAUCUCUGUUGUUGACUCUGGGCUCGCUCGACAACGAAUCUCGGUGGGAGGCAGUUUUCACCCAAUGUCUAGACAUUCUUGGAUAGCCAAAUAUGAUAUGCUAUAUAGGUCACCACUGUAGCCGCCUACCUGGAUCGUGGGGUGACCGCCCACUGUCUGAUCACCUGCAGAAAUGACGCCAAGUGGCACCAAACCUCCGGUGGGAUCAUGGCAAGGUCCCAAAUCCUCCUCGCACGUAGGCAUUGGAACAAGGCAUGGUCCACAGACUCAACCACCUGACAUGGGGGGCACUGGGGGUGAAUAUCCAGACUGCUUUCACUCAGGAUCAGUCUCGUCGGGAGCCAACCCUAAGCAAGCUUCCAGAGAAAUUAGGCUACCCUCGAAUGUAGGUCGAAGCAUCAGACCCAGGCAAAAUCCACCCCCGGGUGCUGCUCACUCGGGAGAGUGCUGUAGACAUCACUUACCUUAACCCUGGAUCUGCAGGUCGAGCUCCACACCCUCACAUAGGGGCUGGCACAUCCUAGAAUUGACACUGACCGGAUCCUCUCCAUAACUGGUCCCCAAACAGUUGGGCUAUCCGGGUGGUAUCCCAUCCUGUCCCUCCGGGUCAAAGAAGGUCGCAAACUCGAAGUCAUCUCGGGGCGUCGACGUUGACCAUGGUCGGCCAGCACCUAAUCAGGAGCGAGCCCAUCCAGAAGUCUUCCACUGCAUCCACACUCUACCCAUCACCGAUCAACCAUCAACAGUUAGUCAAGACCAAAGGCACAUACCUAUAGAUUUUCCGCCAAAUGGAGGAGCAUCUCCGACCCAUAGUUGGUAUCUCACCUAUCUGAGUAGGACCAUACCGGGCUGCCAUCAACUGACUCCAAAAGUACUGAGGCUCCAAGACGAAUCUAACAGUAUGUCGGGCGAUCAGUGCCUCUCUCCUUGUUAAGAAAGAUUGCACACCCAGUCUGCCAGCUCGGCUGGCAAAUAGACUCCCAGGAUACAAGAUGCACCCCGUGGCCCCCGCCAAAAGACCUAGAGAAAGUUUCAAAGAAGCCGUUCGAUCCUCAUCAGCACUAUUUUCGGAACAAUGGUGUUGGACAUGAGGUAGACUGGUAUAGAGCACAAGAGAGCGAGGCCGCUUUGCCCAUCAUGGAGAGCGAGGCUGCUCUCAGCCCUCUAGUUGCUUCUGGACAUGCUGAACCACAUCUAGACAUUCGAACACUCGUAGCCUCUUUUCAGAGAUAGGGACACUCAAAUAGCACCAGGGCCCCUCUUGCUCCCUCAUGGCAAAAAGUGCACAGAUCUCCUACUGAACUCGUAGCUCCGUACUCAGACUGAAGCAGAUUGUGGAUUUGUAGAAGUUCACCCUCUGACUAGACGCAUCACAGUAAUCCUUCAGAACCCCUAUAAGGGCUCGAAUAUCCCUCACGCUUGCCCUAGACAGGAGAAGAUAAAAGGUGAGAAAUCGAAUGGCCCUUGGGGGCUGGAACAUAAGCGUCUAGCUUCUGAUCCCUACAAGCAAUCCGUAAGGCGCGGGAAAGAGCAUCAACACAAAUGAUGAAUAAAUACGGAAAUAAGGGACAAUCCGGCGCAGUCCGAUGGUUGACCGAAAGAAAGGCAAUAGUGUGCCAUUAAUAAGGAUUGAGAAGGAUGGCCCCAACAUGCAACCUAGCACCCUGGCAAUCCACAUCUCAUGGAACCCAAAGCUUUCCAUCGCCCGCCUGAGAAAGCUCCACAAGACUCUGUCAUAAAUUCGCUCCAUAUCAAGCUUCACUGCCAUAUAGCAACGCCGCCUCGGAGCUCGGUGCAGAUUCUACAUCAUCUUCUAGGCGAUCAUAACAUUAUCGGUGAUGCUCUGCCCUCCAAUAAAAGCCCCCUGCUCCUGAUAGAUGAGAUUGGGCAGUAGGGGCUUCAUCCUGCCUACCAGAAUCUUAGCUACCACCUUGUAAAGGGUGGUGCACAGACUGAUAGACCGGUAGUGGCAUGGUUCCGCUGCAUCGUGCCGCUUCGAAAUCAGGAUAACCAUGAUCGUAGUGCUGAAGAAUAAUUAGAUUGCCUCCACCACUGCCCUCCCAAUAAUACCCCAGUACUUCUAGAAGAAGAGGGGAAAGCCAUCAGGCCCUGAAGCUUUGUCCUCCCUCAAAGCCCAAACUGUCCCCUGAUCUCAGCCUCGGAGAUUGCCCCAACCAUGACAGCAUUCUCUGCUGCCCCCGCCAUAGUGUCCGGCUGCAUAAGCAAGGUGUCUCCCAUGAAAUUGCCAUCCUCCGUCCACCUGGGUCUAAAGAAGUCCACCAAUACACGUCAGAUCACACUCUACUCCUCCAACCGCUGCCCAACCCUGUCCCUCAAGGAACGAAUCAUACUCCUCUAUCUCCUGAUGAUGGUCCACCGGUGGAAGAAGCGGGUGUUCCUGUCGCCCUCCUUCAUCCAUAGGAUCUGGGACUUCUAUCUCCAGAACAUCUUUUACUGCCUUAGUAAGGAGUGGUGCGUGGCGAGUUUGUGUCGCAGUUGUAAUAACCCCGGAAAUUAUAUAUAUAUAUAUAUAAAGAAUAGAAUAAUUAUUAAGUAAUUAGAGAGGAGUAAUAUUGGAAAUCAGGAACUAAUGGCAUGAUUAAAGAUGCAUUGAUAUAUAAGGGGUAAAAUUGGAAGGAAUCAAAAGAUAAUGGCAUAAUUGUAGAUCCGUUAAAGUGGCAAGGGCAAAAUAGAAAAUUUUGGUGUUUUGAUGUGAUUUAAAUGGGGUUUGGUGGUCUCAGGCGGUGGAGUGAAACAGAGAAGGAGAGGGAGUCUCAGGCGGUGGAAGAAAAGAAAAGAGGAAGAAAGAGAAGAAGAGAAAGAGAGAGAGGAAGGGAUUCGAGGUGGAAGGGAGCUCCGGUUGCGCUGCCAGCUGAAGGAAAAAGCGUAGGUCUCCUUCCCCUCUACGCAAAGACCCAAUCCUCCAAAAGAAAAGGGUAAAUACCCAUCCCUACCUAGUAUUCUAAAGAAUUUAGGCUAUAGAAAGGGUAGAUGACAGUUUUAGAGGUGGUUAAAAGAGGAAGAAUCAAAUUUCAACAAGUUUUUCCGAGAUUGCGGAAAAACUGUGUCGAAGUCCCAACUUCGGUGAAUUAUUUCGGAGGUCAAUCAGCCUUCGAUGAUGAUGUAUCUUACCAUUUUGAAAACCUCUAUGAGUGUAGAACAUUGGGUAUAAAAUUCAUAAAAAAUGGAGUUCGGAAAGUGGAUCAAACUCGGGAUGAAGUAACCAGCUGUCGGUCCGGGUUACUGUUCAUCCGGGUGGAAAAGUAAGAAAUUUCAUGCCAUAAUAGGGUAUUAAGCCUAGAUUAGGCUAAGGGGGACCUUGUACUCAUGCAAGGGAGUCCCUAAUACAUAUAAAUGGUGAGUUAAUUAAUAAAAAAAGAAGAAAAGAAAAGAUUUAGGAAAGGGGGAGUUGAGUCAACUAAAGUUUUCUAUGUUUAUGAUUGAUACAUAGAUUAUGAGUCCUUGAUACAAGACUAAGAGCAUGAUUAAUGUAUGUUUCAGUUAGGCAAGAAGCUAGGGAACAAGAAGAAGAAGAAGUCCCCUGCUGCCUACUGUAAAGUUCUAAAGGCGUAUCAGGGCUGUGCCAGAUUGACGGGGCAAGUGUUGUAUAGAGAGGAGCAGGGUUAGAGAUUACC